AUAAUUCUUACUUACAUGUGUCGCAACCUAAAUGCGAAACGAAACAACUGGCGAAAAAAGAAAGAAAAUGACAGAAGAGUCGCCACCGUGCGUUAUUUAUCCCAAAGGAGGGAAAGGAAACACUCGAAGUAAACCUGGAAAAAGGAAAGGACAAGACAAGGUCUCGCAACCAAAUCUUGGGUUCGGGAGUCGAUUAUGCGAAGGGAAGGUAUUAGCACCCCUACGCAUCCGUAGU
rnacentral:lncRNA from 1 species